UAAAGUUGCCUGGGGUCAGAGCUAUUAGAGCCAUAGCAAGUGCGUGGCAGUGGUGGUGUACGCCUUUAAGGACCUGGAGGGCGGUACAUACAGGCAGUGACGAGGCAGUCACAUGAUUGGGUUUACAACCAAUCAGAAGCCAGAAAAGAGAGAUUAGAGAGACAGACACACAGGAAGGAGGGCUCCUUCUUUCGGAGAGCUCUCUUGGCUGAGGAGGAUCCCUGAAUCAGAAAGGCUGUCUACAUAUCAUGUAGGACUUCUGUCUAGAGAGGCCCACAUCUGGACAACUCUCUCUAUGUAAAGCUGCAAAGCAACCUAAGCAAAGCCUAUGAUAUCACAUAGAAACUGAGUCACCAGAAUCAGAGGAUGAAACAGCCAAGAAGUACAGGUAGUAAUAACACCAAUAAGGACCAGCCUUGUUGCUAUGUUUGGGUUUAAAAACAAGUCACUGGCAUCUAGUAGGUUGACCAAAUAUUUUAAAAUAUUAUCACAAAGAAAAGGUGAGCUU